GAUGAACGCUGGCGGCGUGCCUAAUACAUGCAAGUCGAGCGAACAGAUGAGGAGCUUGCUCCUCUGACGUUAGCGGCGGACGGGUGAGUAACACGUGGAUAACCUACCUAUAAGACUGGGAUAACUUCGGGAAACCGGAGCUAAUACCGGAUAAUAUAUUGAACCGCAUGGUUCAAUAGUGAAAGACGGUUUUGCUGUCUCUUAUAGAUGGAUCCGCGCCGCAUUAGCUAGUUGGUAAGGUAACGGCUUACCAAGGCAACGAUGCGUAGCCGACCUGAGAGGGUGAUCGGCCGCACUGGAAGUGAGACACGGUCCAGACUCCUACGGGAGGCAGCAGUAGGGAAUGUGCCGCAAAAGGCGAAAGCCUGACGGAGCGACGCCGCGUGUGUGAUGAAGGUCUUCGGAUCGUAAAACUCUGUUAUUAGGGAAGAACAAAUGUGUAAGUAACUAUGCACGUCUUGACGGUACCUGAUCAGAAAGCCACGGCUAACUACGUG
rnacentral:rRNA from 1 species